UACAAGCUACGUGGAUAACGGUAGUUUAGCAAAUUUAUAAACGCCAAAGAGGACAAAUAAAAAGUUUAGCAAAGAGCACGGCCGUGGCUAAGUCAGGAUAUCUCACUGUACAGAUGUUGAACGUCAGUGCUAAAUGGUUUACCAGGCACUAAGUGUGGACUAUUUUCUGUGGAUGCUGCUCUGAGCCCCCUCCAUGGUUUUCAAGGUCACCAGAUAAUUUUAGAAGCUGCUGUUCAAGCUUAAUUUUUAAAUGCAGCCUCUUUCUCUGGAUUUCAUCUGUGUUGGACGUGACCUGAAGCAGCCGUUGUUUGAUCCAUUCAGGGCCUUGCAUGUUGCAAGUUGAUGGCAUGAAUCACAAAUGUCAGAGAAGCUGCAUGGGUCCAUCAGACUGGAGAGCCAUGCUGCGUGGACACAAGUACAGACUCCAUUACAAACACAGACUGUGCAAGUGGGCCCUUAGGAGUGUCGCUUCCAGCCACACAGCAAACUACCCCAUCCCCGACAAACAACAAGUGAACCAGAGAUCUCCCUCUGUCCCAAUGCACUAGACACUUACAGCUCCAACACUGGGCCAAGCACUCCACUGCAGCUUUUGCAGCUGGGCUGCCCUGCCUCACUUGGAUGCAUCAACAAAGCUUGAAGUGGCCACUCUAAUCUGGUUAAGUAUUGCCUGGUUGGGGAGAAAUUAGUCGAAUUCUUUUAACUUUUCAAACAAACAUAAUACAGUCAAACUUGCUGGAUGGGAAUCAAUUACAUGUACUGGAAAUAGGUUCGGGGGGAAUAUCAUUUCAGUUCUGGAAAUCAUCUAAUACAUCUAUUCAACGACAUAUGCCUGUAGUGUCAUAUCGAAGCCAUAUUUCAGUCCAGUGUAAUGAAUAAGCCAGAGGAAUAUCUGUUGAAACACUACCGGAAUAUGUUUCACAAAUCUUGUUCACCCACUGGUGAUGUUAGCCAUUAUCAGCAGUACUUCAAAAAUAGUUAUUCCUCCCCUAAAUCCAUUAAUAGAUAUUGUGAGAAAUUCUGGGAUAAUUCUAAGAUAAUUGCGUAGUUUUUCAAUAUGAUUGAUUUUAGCAUUGCAUAUGUAUAUUUGUUUUAUAUUUUACUAAAAUUUAACUUCAAAUUCUUUUCCUAGAUGUAUCGAUCUGUUUAAUCACAUCAGUUCUGUAUAAGACAUAGUCAGAGCAUGGCUUUGAUUCUGUGACAUUCGGUAAUAUUCAUAUUCUUGUGAAAGGAUAUUUCCGAUUGCUUGCUACCGCUAACUGCUUCUAGAUUUUGUAGUUCAGCGCUUGCUUUAGCAUGCCAGAAGGAUGUACAUUUUAAUUACAUAUAUUAUAUAUUUAUAUAUAUUGUACCAUCACCAACCAGUUUGGUAGAAUUGUGCAACACAUGAAAUCAUAUAGAUCAAGAAAUUACUCACCAUUUCACUCAAACUUCUGGUGACAGCUUUUGUCUAUGUAUGUAUAACUAAGAAUAUCCAUCUAUUUUCCUGUCAAACAGCAUUGUUUGAUGAGUCAUUACCAUAGAUGAAUGCUUGUAGAGAUAUAGUGAAAGAAAUAUCUGGCGUGAUACCGUUUCACUAUUGACAGCCUCCCUUUUCAAGAGGUAAAAUCUGGGAAAACAGACUUGUUUUAUUAUUGACUUGCCGAGCAGAUGGUUUGGAGGGAAAAAAAGAAUAUGAUCACAAUACAAACAUUUUUGUUGUAUUGAA